GCCUUCGUAGUGUAGUGGUCAGCACGCUCGACGCGUAACCGAGAGGUCCGUGGUUCGAUUCGCGGCGAAGGUG
rnacentral:tRNA from 1 species